CUGCUGCCUCCCGUAGGAGUCUGGGCCGUGUCUCAGUCCCAAUGUGGCCGUUCACCCUCUCAGGCCGGCUACUGAUCGUCGCCUUGGUGGGCUUUUACCUCACCAACUAGCUAAUCAGACGCGGAACCAUCGUAUACCACCGGAGUUUUUCACACUGCUUCAUGCGAAGCUGUGCGCUUAUGCGGUAUUAGCACCUAUUUCUAAGUGUUAUCCCCCAGUAUACGGCAGGUUUUCCACGCGUUACUCACCCGUCCG
rnacentral:rRNA from 1 species